rnacentral:rRNA from 1 species
CUGAACCAGCCAAGUAGCGUGAAGGAUGACUGCCCUAUGGGUUGUAAACUUCUUUUAUAUGGGAAUAAAGUUUUCCACGUGUGAAAUUUUGUAUGUACCAUAUGAAUAAGGAUCGGCUAACUCCGUGCCAGCAGCCGCGGUAAUACGGAGGAUCCGAGCCUUAUCCGGAUUUAUUGGGUUUAAAGGGAGCGUAGGUGGACAGUUAAGUCAGUUGUGAAAGUUUGCGG